UCGUAGCCGAUGUUCCACAGCAGGGGG
rnacentral:sRNA from 1 species